UACGUAGGGUGCGAGCGUUAAUCGGAAUUACUGGGCGUAAGCGUGCGCAGGCGGUUUGUUAAGUCUGAUGUGAAAGCCCCGGGCUCAACCUGGGAAUGGCAUUGGAAACUGGCAAGCUUGAGUAUGGCAGAGGGGGGGUGGAAUUCCGCGUGUAGCAGUGAAAUGCGUAGAGAUGCGGAGGAACACCGAUGGCGAAGGCAGCCCCCUGGGCCAAUACUGACGCUCAGGCACGAAAGCGUGGGGAGCAAACAGG
rnacentral:rRNA from 1 species